ACAUAUGAGUCCAUUUUUAUUCAUAGAUUCACAUCUAAGUUCUUCUAACCAAUAACUGUACCCAAAUGCUGAUUAUAAUGACACGGUCAGAAUGUUUCCCUCUCUGAUCAGCUCUUGUGGCAUCAGGGUUGCCUAGCAGUAUAGAUUGAUCAUGGCAUUGGCCGGCACUUGUAUGAGGGGUUUCUUUGGCGACAGCCGUCCUGAUCUGAGUACCUGUGAGUCAGCAUAUGAGGGCUUGAUGCCGUGUGCCGGGCCGAGGACUGAGAGCAGGGCUGUGAUCCAGCUGCUUGAAGGAUUUGUGAUGAAUGACGGGCGGGAGGCGUCCCUCUCCUAAUCUUCUGAGGGGGUCAUAGAGUAUAAGAGACCUGUAACCCCUGCACCGCUCCCAAAGAAAGCCGAGCGUUGACAUCCACCCCUCCACAGCAGAGACAUACAUAAGAAACGGUGCAGCUGCACCCAGUCAACAGCCUGUCAAUCAACAAACCUGUGAGUGCAACCUUAAAAUAUUU